AGUGAACGCUGGCGGUAGGCCUAACACAUGCAAGUCGAACGGCAGCACAGUAAGAGCUUGCUCUUACGGGUGGCGAGUGGCGGACGGGUGAGGAAUACAUCGGAAUCUACUUUUUCGUGGGGGAUAACGUAGGGAAACUUACGCUAAUACCGCAUACGACCUACGGGUGAAAGCAGGGGAUCUUCGGACCUUGCGCGAUUGAAUGAGCCGAUGUCGGAUUAGCUAGUUGGCGGGGUAAUGGCCCACCAAGGCGACGAUCCGUAGCUGGUCUGAGAGGAUGAUCAGCCACACUGUAACUGAGACACGGUCAAGACUCCUACGGGAGGCAGCAGUGGGGAAUAUUGGACAAUGGGCGCAAGCCUGAUCCAGCCAUCCCGCGUGGGUGAAGAAGGCCUUCGGGUUGUAAAGCCCUUUUGUUGGGAAAGAAAAGCAGCAGGUUAAUACCCCGCUGUUCUGACGGUACCCAAAGAAUAAGCACCGGCUAACUUCGUG
rnacentral:rRNA from 1 species